UAUUACCGCGGCUGCUGGCACGUAGUUAGCCGGGGCUUCUUAGUCAGGUACCGUCAUUUUCUUCCCUGCUGAUAGAGCUUUACAUACCGAAAUACUUCUUCACUCACGCGGCGUCGCUGCAUCAGGGUUUCCCCCAUUGUGCAAUAUUCCCCACUGCUGCCUCCCGUAGGA
rnacentral:rRNA from 1 species